GACGAACGCUGGCGGCGUGCCUAAUACAUGCAAGUCGAACGCUGAAGAGAGGAGCUUGCUCUUCUUGGAUGAGUUGCGAACGGGUGAGUAACGCGUAGGUAACCUGCCUUGUAGCGGGGGAUAACUAUUGGAAACGAUAGCUAAUACCGCAUAACAAUGGAUGACACAUGUCAUUUAUUUGAAAGGGGCAAUUGCUCCACUACAAGAUGGACCUGCGUUGUAUUAGCUAGUAGGUGAGGUAAUGGCUCACCUAGGCGACGAUACAUAGCCGGCCUGAGAGGGUGAUCGGCCACACUGGGACUGAGACACGGGCCAGACUCCUUCGGGAGGCAGCAGGAGGGAAUCUUCGGCAAUGGGGGCAACCCUGACCGGGCAACGCCGGGGGGGUGAAGAAGGGUUUCGGAUCGGAAAGCUCUGUUGUAAGUCAAGAACGGGUGUGAGAGUGGAAAGUUCACACUGUGACGGUAGCUUACCAGAAAGGGACGGCUAACUACGUG
rnacentral:rRNA from 1 species